ACACAUGCAAGUCGAGGGGUAUAGUAGCAAUACUAGAGACCGGCGCACGGGUGCGUAACGCGUAUGCAAUCUACCUUUUGCAGAGGGAUAGCCCAGAGAAAUUUGGAUUAAUACCUCAUAGUAUAACGACUCGGCAUCGAGAUGUUAUUAAAGUCACAACGGCAAAAGAUGAGUAUGCGUCCCAUUAGUUAGUUGGUAAGGUAACGGCUUACCAAGACUACGAUGGGUAGGGGUCCUGAGAGGGAGAUCCCCCACACUGGUACUGAGACACGGACCAGACUCCUACGGGAGGCAGCAGUGAGGAAUAUUGGACAAUGGGCGCAAGCCUGAUCCAGCCAUGCCGCGUGCAGGAUGACGGUCCUAUGGAUUGUAAACUGCUUUUGCACAGGAAGAAACAACGCUACGUGUAGCGUCUUGACGGUACUGUGAGAAUAAGGAUCGGCUAACUCCGUGCCAGCAGCCGCGGUAAUACGGAGGAUCCAAGCGUUAUCCGGAAUCAUUGGGUUUAAAGGGUCCGUAGGCGGUCUUAUAAGUCAGUGGUGAAAUCUCCCCGCUCAACGGGGAAACGGCCAUUGAUACUGUAGGACUUGAAUUAUUAGGAAGUAACUAGAAUAUGUAGUGUAGCGGUGAAAUGCUUAGAGAUUACAUGGAAUACCAAUUGCGAAGGCAGGUUACUACUAAUGGAUUGACGCUGAUGGACGAAAGCGUGGGUAGCGAACAGGAUUAGAUACCCUGGUAGUCCACGCCGUAAACGAUGGAUACUAGCUGUUGGGCGCAAGUUCAGUGGCUAAGCGAAAGUGAUAAGUAUCCCACCU
rnacentral:rRNA from 1 species